AUUGAACGCUGGCGGCAUGCCUUACACAUGCAAGUCGAACGGUAACGGGCCUUCGGGUGCCGACGAGUGGCGAACGGGUGAGUAAUGUAUCGGAACGUACCUUUCAGGGGGGGAUAACGUAGCGAAAGUUACGCCAAUACCGCAUAUUCUGUGCGCAGGAAAGCAGGGGAUCGCAAGACCUUGCGCUGAUUGAGCGGCCGAUAUCAGAUUAGCUAGUUGGUGAGGUAAAGGCUCACCAAGGCGACGAUCUGUAGCGGGUCUGAGAGGAUGACCCGCCACACUGGAACUGAGACACGGUCCAGACUCCUACGGGAGGCAGCAGUGGGGAAUUUUGGACAAUGGGGGCAACCCUGAUCCAGCCAUGCCGCGUGAGUGAAGAAGGCCUUCGGGUUGUAAAGCUCUUUCGGCCGGGAAGAAAUCGUAUCAGCUAAUACCUGGUGCGGAUGACGGUACCGGCAUAAGAAGCACCGGCUAACUACGUGCCAGCCGCCGCCGUAAUAC
rnacentral:rRNA from 1 species